rnacentral:tRNA from 1 species
GUCCCUGUAGUUCAACGGAUAGAACAAGAACCUUCUAAGUUUUAGAUGGAGGUUCGACUCCUCCCAGGGACG